rnacentral:rRNA from 1 species
UACGUAGGGUGCGAGCGUUAAUCGGAAUUACUGGGCGUAAAGCGUGCGCAGGCGGUGAGCUGUGUCCGAUGUGAAAGCCCCGGGCUUAACCUGGGAAUGGCAUUGGAAACUGGCUCGCUGGAGUGUGGCAGAGGGGGGUGGAAUUCCGCGUGUAGCAGUGAAAUGCGUAGAGAUGCGGAGGAACACCGAUGGCGAAGGCAGCCCCCUGGGCUAACACUGACGCUCAUGCACGAAAGCGUGGGGAGCAAACAGG